UUUAGCGGCGAUAGUACGUUGAAUGCACCAGUUCCCCACGGAUCACUGAAGUUAAGCAAUGUUGCGCGUGGUUAGAACCUUGAUGGUGACUAUCCGGGGAAUCCACGUGCUGCUGGGC
rnacentral:rRNA from 1 species